rnacentral:rRNA from 1 species
UACGUAGGGUGCAAGCGUUGUCCGGAAUUAUUGGGGCGUAAAGAGCUCGUAGGCGGUUCGUCGCGUCGGCUGUGAAAUCCCGAGGCUCAACCUCGGGUCUGCAGUCGAUACGGGCAAACUAGAGUAUUGCAGGGGAGACUGGAAUUCCUGGUGGUAGCGGUGAAAAUGCGCAGGAUAUCAAGGAGGAACACCGGUGGCGAAGGCGGGUCUCCUGGGCAAGUGAACUGACGCUGGAGGAGCG